GGCGAUUUCUGCAGCCCGGCGCAAGAAUUCCUUCGGUUUUUAUUUCUUUUCCCUUUUAUUUAUUUUCUGUUUUUAAUUUAGCCAAUGAGUGGCUAAUUUCUUUCAUCUAGUUGAAUAUUGGUUGAAACUUUAGUUGGUUAAUGGGUUGUGAGACUUGAUCAAAUAUUGUUUAAAUUUUGGGAAUUCAAUAUUCAUGCAAUUUCAUAUUUAA
rnacentral:lncRNA from 1 species